rnacentral:tRNA from 1 species
ACAUUGGUGGUUCAGUGGUAGAAUUAUUUUCUUCCACACGGGAGACCUGGGUUCAAUUCCUUGCCAGUGCA